UACGAGGGGAGCUAGCGUUGUUCGGAAUUACUGGGCGUAAAGGGCGUGUAGGCGGUACCAUAAGUCAGAUGUGAAAGCCCUAGGCUUAACCUAGGAAUUGCAUUUGAUACUGUGGAACUAGAGAUCGAGAGAGGUAAGUGGAAUUACGAGUGUAGAGGUGAAAUUCGUAGAUAUUCGUAAGAACACCAGUGGCGAAGGCGACUUACUGGCUCGAUACUGACGCUAAGGCGCGAAAGCGUGGGGAGCAAACAGG
rnacentral:rRNA from 1 species